rnacentral:rRNA from 1 species
GCGCACCAGGCGCGAAAACUCCGCAAUGCGGGAAACCGUGACGGGGUUACCCCGAGUGCUCCCCUUGUGGGAGCUUUUCCCCGCUGUAAGAAGGCGGGGGAAUAAGCGGGGGGCAAGUCUGGUGUCAGCCGCCGCGGUAAUACCAGCCCCGCGAGUGGUCGGGGUGUUUAUUGGGCCUAAAGCGGCCGUAGCCGGCCCGGUAAGUCCUCCCUGAAAGCUCCAGGCUCAACCUGGGGAGCGGGAGGAUACUGCCGGGCUAGAGGGCGGGAGAGGCCGAGGGUACUCCCGGGGUAGGGGCGGAAUCCUGUAAUCCCGGGAGGACCACCAGUGGCGAAGGCGCUCGGCUGGAACGCGCCUGACGGUGAGGGCCGAAAGCCGGGGGAGCGAACCGGAUUAGAUACCCGGGUAGUCCCGGCUGUAAACGAUGCGGGCUAGGUGUUAGGCGGGCGGGAGAGCCUGCCUAGUACCGCAGGGAAGCCGUUAAGCUCGCCGCCUGGGGAGUACGGCCGCAAGGCUGAAACUUAAAGGAAUUGGCGGAGGAGCACACAAGGGGUGGAGCCUGCGGCUUAAUUGGAUUCAACGCCGGG